CUAUUGGUUAGUAUUUGAGGAGUAACCUGGUAGAAAACAUCUUGGGUUACUAGGGCUAUUUUACCACCCGUUGGGCUUAGAAUCCCAAUUAGGGGUGUGCACACUUAAGGUUGUGGUCCUGUUUCCACCUAUGGUAAAGUGGGGGUUCUGUAAUGUAUUCAGUAGAGGAUUGUUGUUCACUAAGGGCUUCACUGAGAUGAUGUCCCUGCCCC